rnacentral:rRNA from 1 species
UACGUAGGGUGCGAGCGUUGUCCGGAAUUAUUGGGCGUAAAGAGCUUGUAGGCGGUCUGUCGCGUCUGCUGUGAAAAUCCGGGGCUCAACCCCGGACUUGCAGUGGGUACGGGCAGACUAGAGUGUGGUAGGGGAGACUGGAAUUCCAGGUGUAGCGGUGAAAUGCGUAGAUAUCUGGAGGAAUACCGGUGGCGAAGGCGGCAUCCUGGACCGGCAUUGACGCUGAUGAGCGAAAGCUAGGGGAGCAAACGGG